rnacentral:tRNA from 1 species
ACUUAAAUAGUAUAAUAGUAUAUUUGACUUCCAAUCAAAAGGUCUAAUUUAAUUAGUUUAAGUA